UACGUAGGGUGCGAGCGUUAAUCGGAAUUACUGGGCGUAAAGCGUGCGCAGGCGGCCGCGCAAGUCGAGUGUGAAAGCCCCGAGCUUAACUUGGGAAUUGCGCUCGAAACUACGUGGCUGGAGUGUGGCAGAGGAAGGUGGAAUUCCAGGUGUAGCGGUGAAAUGCGUAGAGAUCUGGAGGAACACCGAUGGCGAAGGCAGCCUUCUGGGCCAACACUGACGCUCAUGCACGAAAGCGUGGGGAGCAAACAGG
rnacentral:rRNA from 1 species